UUAAAAGCUAUGAAUAGAGAAAGUAUGUUAAUGGCAACUUUCAGAGAGAAGUCUCCCCUGGCUGAAAGAGACUUUAAGUGAAAAUUUUCAGAAGUGCCUCUAGGAGCUCUUUUUCGAAUUAAGUAGAUUUUAGCGUGAACGCCCGUUAUAGCGUUAAGGUAUGUCUGUACCUGAUAUUUGAAAAGUUAUAUGCAUAUAAUUUAUAUAGCAUAUAAACAGAGUGGAACCGCGGAAUAUAACUUCUGCCUCUGUA
rnacentral:ncRNA from 1 species